CGGAACAGCAAAGCUGAUGAGUAUCAUUCUGGGCGGUCUGACUGGUUUCCUGGUAGCGGUCAUCAUCGGUCUGGUUGUUAAAAACAGGAAGCUGCAGACAGCUGCCAGUGAAGACCAGAACUCACAACAGUAUGAGAAUGUGGACUGUGAUGAGCUGAGAGAUGCAGAGCUGAGUUUGU